GGAUUGAACGCUAGCGGGAUGCUUUACACAUGCAAGUCGAACGGCAGCGCGGACUUCGGUCUGGCGGCGAGUGGCGAACGGGUGAGUAAUAUAUCGGAACGUGCCCAGUAGCGGGGGAUAACUACGCGAAAGCGUGGCUAAUACCGCAUACGCCCUACGGGGGAAAGGGGGGGAUCGCAAGACCUCUCACUAUUGGAGCGGCCGAUAUCAGAUUAGCUAGUGGUGAGGUAAAGGCUCACCGAAGGCGACGAUCUGUAGCUGGUUGAGAGGACGACCGAGCCACACUGGGACUGACGACACGGCCCAGACCGUCCGUACGGGAGGCAGGCAGGU
rnacentral:rRNA from 1 species